GCACGUUCUCAGGGCGGGGUGCAAGUCCCCACCGGCGGUAAUGGCGUACAACGCCUAGCCCGCGAGCGCUUCAGGCCCUUCCUGAAGGUCAGCAGACCCGGUGUGAUUCCGGGGCCGACGGUCAUAGUCCGGAUGAAGAGAGAACGGGA
rnacentral:ncRNA from 2 species